AGCUUUGUGCAGUGGCAGUAACAUAGCCAAUGAGGUUUGUCCGAGGCGUGGUUAUUGCUAAUUGAAAAUUUGUAAGUGUAAGAUGGAUAAUUUUCUAUAGCUCACCCAUCAGUUACUGUUAAAAUAUUCUUGAGAGAA
ensembl:snRNA U4 U4 spliceosomal RNA